rnacentral:rRNA from 1 species
UACAGAGGGGGCAAGCGUUGUUCGGAAUUACUGGGCGUAAAGGGCGCGUAGGCGGCUUUUCAAGUCGGGCGUGAAAUCUCCGGGCUUAACCUGGAAGGGUCGUUCGAUACUGUCGAGCUAGAGUGUGGAAGAGGCUACUGGAAUUCCGUGUGUAGCGGUGAAAUGCGUAGAUAUACGGAGGAACACCAGUGGCGAAGGCGGCUCACUGGCCCGGUACUGACGCUGAGGCGCGAAAGCGUGGGGAGCAAACAGG